rnacentral:rRNA from 1 species
GAUGAACGCUGGCGGCGUGCCUAAUACAUGCAAGUCGAGCGAACGGACGAGAAGCUUGCUUCUCUGAUGUUAGCGGCGGACGGGUGAGUAACACGUGGAUAACCUACCUAUAAGACUGGGAUAACUUCGGGAAACCGUAGCUAAUACCGGAUAAUAUUUUGAACCGCAUGGUUCAAAAGUGAAAGACGGUCUUGCUGUCACUUAUAGAUGGAUCCGCGCUGCAUUAGCUAGUUGGUAAGGUAACGGCCUACCAAGGCAACGAUGCAUAGCCGACCUGAGAGGGUGAUCGGCCACACUGGAACUGAGACACGGUCCAGACUCCUACGGGAGGCAGCAGUAGGGAAUCUUCCGCAAUGGGCGAAAGCCUGACGGAGCAACGCCGCGUGAGUGAUGAAGGUCUUCGGAUCGUAAAACUCUGUUAUUAGGGAAGGACAUAUGUGUAAGUAACUGUGCACAUCUUGACGGUACCUAAUCAGAAAGCCACGGCUAACUACGUG